rnacentral:ncRNA from 1 species
CGAAAAGUGUUGAAGAGGAAAAGUAAGAAAAAAGAUGCUUUUUAGAGAGAACCAUCACCGGCUGAAAGUGGUUUAAGCCUCUCCUUUUUCCGAAGUGCGCCUCAGAGCCUCAAUUUGAACGGAUGCCCAUGUUUCCUAGUAGAUUUGAGCGGAACUUAUCCGUUAACAAGUUAAAGUUGAGGCUUCUGAAGCCUAAACAGAGUGGAACCGCGCAUAAAGCGUCUCUGUC